CUUACGCUGACCUCUUUUCGUUAAAAAUUAUGUAUGUGUAGUAGUUUUUUGGGUUAGUAACACUAUUAUAUAUUUCAGUAACAAUAUACUUUCUUGUUCUUAUUACAGUCUUAAUGUCACACGUUAUUCCAGGAAGUCGAAUUAUUAAGAAUGUUAAUAUUGUAGUUUCGUAAUUAGAACCAGUUUGAAAUGUUGAUAUUUGUUGAUUCAUGAUGCCAACCCCCAAGGACAUUUACUAUAUCCCACCAGAUUAGUCAAGAGUGAAUCGCGCAUCGAAUUCAGCUUCAACAGUUUUCAAAUAAAAUCUCUUUUGAUCUCUAAA